rnacentral:rRNA from 1 species
CCCCUAGAUGUUCUGGGCCGCACGCGCGCUACACUGAACAGUUCAACAAGUCUUAACCUUGGCCGAUAGGUCUGGGUAAUCUUUGAACGCUGUUCGUGAUUGGGAUAGACCUUUGCAAUUAUGGGUCUUCAACGAGGAAUUCCUAGUAAACGCAAGUCAUCAGCUUGCAUUGAUUACGUCCCUGCCCUUUGUACACACCGCCCGUCGCACCUACCGAUUGAAUGGUCCGGUGAAAUCUCCGGACUGGCGUGAGUCGGAGCAAUCUGACAAACACCGGAAAGUUGAUUAAACCUUACCAUUUAGAGGAAGGUGAAGUCGUANCA